UUUGGGUCAGUGAUUUGAGAAGGACAAGCCCUCGAAUGCAAUCAAUAUCAUACACACAUAAAUAAAACCUAGCCUACACAUUACUCAUACUCAUUCAUUCACACAAUUUUCUUUGUUUUUUUAAAGAAAAAAUGGCAACUUCUUCAUCUUCUUCCUCUGCAAACACUUCUUGGGUGAAAACCAUCACAACUCCAUUCAGAAAAGCCCGGACUUUCUUUGUUCCUGGUGGAACUUCCACUAGGUCAAGUACCAAGUCACCCCUCCACCACCAAGGGCAUGAAGAUAAGAGGAUGAGGGAUCUUCAACUAGAAGGAGAAGUGAUGGCAUGUGCUUAUGAAGAUGUUCAAGUGAUGUGGUCCAUUUUGGACAAGUCAAACCAAAGAGUCUGCGAUGUUUCAUCUUGAAAUUUCAUGGGAGGUGGAUGAGUUUGCUAAUGGAAUCAAGAACCUCUGCCUCUGUUGUUGUUAGGCUUAGUUAGGGAGCUAGUUAGCUAUAAAUCUUUGGGCUACUUGAUGUUUGAUUAGAACAUUCAAAGAGGAUUAGAGUAAUCAAACAAGAGGGAGCUGGAGAAAUAUAUAUUUGUUUAGAUGGUGAAGGAGAGAUGAUGAUUUUGGUUUGUAAAUUUUAAGGUUCUUGUUCUUGUCAUCAUCUCUUGAAUGAAUGAAUCCCUGUGGUUUGCAUAUAUCAUGUGAGAUUUUUAUGUUCAAUGGUAUAUGCAAACAGUUUUUGUUUUCC